AUGGGUUCUUUGCAAGAAAGAAUUGCUUCUACUAAAAAGGGAUUUAUAACUUCGAUUCAAGCAGUUUAUGUACCUGUAGACGAUUUGACCGACCCUGCCCCUGCCACAACAUUUGCACAUUUGGAGGCUGUCAAUUGGAUUCCCCCAUCCAAUUGA
rnacentral:rRNA from 1 species